rnacentral:rRNA from 1 species
AGAAUCAACGCUGGCGGCGUGCCUAACACAUGCAAGUCGAACGAGAAAGUGGAGCAAUCCAUGAGUAAAGUGGCGACCGGGUGAGUAACACGUGACUAACCUACCUUCGAGUGGGGAAUAACCUCGGGAAACCGGGCUAAUACCGCAUAAUGUCUUCGGACCAAAGGAGCAAUUCGCUUGAAGAGGGGUCGCGGCCGAUUAGCUAGUUGGUGGGGUAACGGCCCACCAAGGCAAUGAUCGGUAGCCGGCCUGAGAGGGCGCACGGCCACACUGGAACUGAAACACGGUCCAGACUCCUACGGGAGGCAGCAGUGGGGAAUUUGCGCAAUGGGGGAAACCCUGACGCAGCAACGCCGCGUGGAGGAUGAAGCCCCUUGGGGUGUAAACUCCUUUCGAUCGGGACGAUUAUGACGGUACCGGAUGAAGAAGCACCGGCUAACUCUGCGCCAGCAGCCGC